CCCUUAUUCAUGAGAUUUUACGAGAUAUGGGUAUUUCGGUAAUUAACAAACAUCUACAAAAAUGAAUAUGAUUAAUUAUUGGGUUUGAAUGGUUCAAGAAAGGUGUACUGAAAUAAAAUCAUAAACUAUUCUUUAUAUCUCGCGAAAUCUUGAAAUUCCUAAGUCGUCUGAUGACGUGUCGAGGCUGACUACGUCACAUCGGCGCUUGCAGCUGUGAUCAGAAUAAACAUGUGGACUUCAGUGAUAUAUCUCGGAAUUUAACUCGUUUACAACCAGCGUGGACAGAAAUCGGCAUAGGAUUCAACUGAACAAGGGUUACUUAGGCAGUAGAUGGUCCACUGAAAACACUUAAUUCUUGGGAUGUUGAUAAAAAGUAUUGGUUUUCUUAUCAACUGGACUACCUCCUAAUAUCAAAAAGACAGAAGAGAAGAACAUGUAGUGUGCAAGAUGAAUUGUCAAUUUCCAUAAAUUACACAUUAUGACUGAAAAAUACUAAAAAUCAGAAAACACUAAUCUUGUUGAACAGUUUGUCACAGAAAAGCAAUCUCUAUAGUAUUUGUAAAGUUGAUUAUCAAAAUAAAUUCUUGAUAAUAUUGAUAUAUUGUUUCUUCUUGCUUUCUUUAAUUAGUACUAAAAUAUCAAUUAUGAUUAAAAGUAAACCUGAUAAUACAUUAAAAGAAUUUAUUCACCAGCAUAGUAACAUAAA